GACGAACCGAGCGAACGUUAUUCGGAAUCACUGGGCUUAAAGGGCGCGUAGGCGGGCUCGCAAGUCAGGGGUGAAAGCCCCCAGCUCAACUGGGGAAGUGCCUUUGAUACUGCGGGCCUCGAGGGAGGUAGGGGCGUGCGGAACUUCCGGUGGAGCGGUGAAAUGCGUAGAUAUCGGAAGGAACACCGGUGGCGAAAGCGGCGCGCUGGACCUCUUCUGACGCUGAGGCGCGAAAGCCAGGGGAGCAAACGGG
rnacentral:rRNA from 1 species